GACGAACGCUGGCGGCGUGCUUAACACAUGCAAGUCGAACGGAAAGGCCCUGCUUUUGUGGGGUGCUCGAGUGGCGAACGGGUGAGUAACACGUGCGUAACCUGCCCUUGACUUUGGGAUAACUUCAGGAAACUGGGGCUAAUACCGGAUAGGAGCUCCUGCUGCAUGGUGGGGGUUGGAAAGUUUCGGCGGUUGGGGAUGGACUCGCGGCUUAUCAGCUUGUUGGUGGGGUAGUGGCUUACCAAGGCUUUGACGGGUAGCCGGCCUGAGAGGGUGACCGGCCACAUUGGGACUGAGAGACGGCCCAGACUCCUACGGGAGGCAGCAGUGGGGAAUAUUGCACAAUGGGCGGAAGCCUGAUGCAGCAACGCCGCGUGCGGGAUGACGGCCUUCGGGUUGUAAACCGCUUUCGCCUGUGACGAAGCGUGAGUGACGGUAAUGGGUAAAGAAGCACCGGCUAACUACGUG
rnacentral:rRNA from 1 species